UGAGAUGUAGCUCAAUGGUAAAGUGUUUGCCUCUCAUGCACAAGGCCCUCGAUUUUUAUCCUCAGUAUCACCAAAAAAGAAAAAGAAAGAAAAUUCACUUAUUAAGGAAAAUUAAGAAACAAUUCAAUAUUAUUGCUAACUUUAUUCUACAAAAAUGGCACUAACCAUCUGUGUUUAGAAUGCUUGUGAACUUAAUCCUAGUGGCUCAGUUAGCUGAAGCAGGAGAAUCGUGAGUUCAAAGCCAGCCUCAGCAACUUAG
rnacentral:tRNA from 1 species